rnacentral:rRNA from 1 species
AUUGAACGCUGGCGGCAGGCCUAACACAUGCAAGUCGAGCGGAUGAAGGGAGCUUGCUCCUGGAUUCAGCGGCGGACGGGUGAGUAAUGCCUAGGAAUCUGCCUGGUAGUGGGGGAUAACGUCCGGAAACGGGCGCUAAUACCGCAUACGUCCUGAGGGAGAAAGUGGGGGAUCUUCGGACCGCACGCUAUCAGAUGAGACUAGGUCGGAUUAGCUAGUUGGUGGGGUAAAGGCCUACCAAGGCGACGAUCCGUAACUGGUCUGAGAGGAUGAUCAGUCACACUGGAACUGAGACACGGUCCAGACUCCUACGGGAGGCAGCAGUGGGGAAUAUUGGACAAUGGGCGAAAGCCUGAUCCAGCCAUGCCGCGUGUGGGAAGAAGGUCUUCGGAUUGUAAAGCACUUUAAGUUGGGAGGAAGGGCAGUAAGUUAAUACCUUGCUGUUUUGACGUUACCAUCAGAAUAAGCACCGGCUAACUUCGUG